rnacentral:rRNA from 1 species
UAAGCAUGAAGCCCCCCUCAAGAUGAGAUUUCCCAACUUCGGUUAUAAGAUCCCUCAAAGAUGAUGAGGUUAAUAGGUUCGAGGUGGAAGCAUGGUGACAUGUGGAGCUGACGAAUACUAAUCGAUCGAAGACUUAAUCAAAA